AAAUAGCCCUGAUGGGAGCGGUAUCCCUUUUGGGUAAAGAUGAUUGCUUAUGUUAGAAUGGUUUCCCAAAAGGAUUAAGCGUACAGCAGGACGGAAC
rnacentral:sRNA from 1 species